UUAGUUAACCAAUUAAUUAAAUUAAUCAAAUCUUUUAAGAAUUAAAUAAUUAUCUUUAAUUAGACUAUUAAUUAGUUAAUCGAUUUGAUAAUUAUCCUUCCUAAUUUUCAAAAAUUAGGAUUUUGGUUUUCUAGUUUUAGUUAUUCAAACUUUAAGGAAAUAAAAAUAACAAAUAAGGAAUCUAGGAAACCCUAGUAAUGUUCAAAAAAGGCUAGGAGGAAAGGGGAUUUUUGAUAACUCUAGAGGGCUAGGAAUUUUCGAUUUUCUAAGUGUUUUUAAAGGUUUCACAAAUGUGUAAAUUAUAGAACAAGCCUAAAGCUCUGAUACAACUGAUGGGUUUUCUAGAUUACUUCUAUGUACUAGAGGGAUUUCACAUAACAUUUAUGGGCACAUGCUAUUGGAUUUGGUGUCUAAGCCCAUAACAAUAACCGGGAUGUACUUGAGCAGAUUGUAGCAUGGUCCUUUUGUGUUGCCUUCAUCAUUACAAUUUGAUAGGAUGGACUUUUGAGAAUAAUGUUAUUUAUGAUUUAUUAAUAUAUUAUAAGUAUAAUAUAUUAAUUGAGAAAUCAUAUUAUUUAAUUAGUAUUGGUCAAUAAUUAAGCUGGAAUUAAUUUUGUGGUCAAAAUAGACUAAUUAAAUAUAUGGGGAUUGAUUAUGUAAAUCGAUGAUUCUUAUAGUGUGGGCUAAUGAUCCAUGGUUAUUUAGGAUGGGCUAAACCAAUGAGAUAGUUCAUGGAUAGUCCAUGGAGGUUUUAACCCAUGGAGCCUAAGUUAUGUGAAAGGUCAUUAGGGUUUACAAGGUGUAACCCUAGCAUUUGCUACACUAUAAAAGCACACCCCUUGAACCAAAAUCGGUUACACCAUCAUUCUAAGUAGUUUGAUAUUGAUUUGUGCUAAGUAACUUAUUCUCUCAAGCCUCCUCUUGCAUAUUGGUGUUUGCAAACCAUUAGAGGCAUCACACUUGAGGUGCUCAAGCUUUCAAAGGUCAAGAAAUACAAGUCCUUCUAAGAGGUAAGUCAUCUAACUAGUUGUAUUGCUAAAUUGUCAAUUUGGAUGCUAGUUAGGAUUUAUGCUUUGGAAUAUUGAAAAAUAUGCAUGUAUAAUUAGAGAAAAUAUAGAUCCAAAGCAUCUAGGGUUGCAUGUGCACCAUAGGAGUGUUAUAGUGCUCAAAACCCAAUAGUGGUAUCAGAGCCUAGGAUUGUUUUCUGUUAUACUUGAUGCUUGCUGUUUUUCAAAGUUGGAAAUUUGAUUUUGUAGCCUCUGACAUAUGAACUCACCGAGUUCAUUGGCUGACUCGACGAGUCCAAUUAGUAAUAGAGCAACUCAACGAGUUAGAUCAUGCACUCAACGAGUUGCAGGAUCUGGUUGCAGAAAUUCGAGGUUUUUGGCUAGAAUUGGAUUAGGAUCAUUACCACAAAUUGUUUUGAAUCAUAAAAUAUGUUUUUCUGAUAAGGUAGUGAUCAUCCUCAUCCAAUUAAAAGAUAAUUGUCAAAAUUUCAAGAUUUGUAUUAGUUUAUAUGAUUAGGCUAAUUUCAUGUAAAAUUGUUGAUGUGAAUUAUCUUGUGUUAUGAUUUUAACUAGAUCAUAGAGAAAUUACUUGAUAAUUUUUGUUAGUUAAAUUGUUGAUAUUAAUGCUUUUAAUGACCUCUAUAAUUUGUCCUCAAGUUAUGGAAAAUGAAAGGUCUCAUCCAUUAAAAUGCAAUUAAACUCAUAAGUUAUAGAAAUUAAGAGUUUUGACAAGUUUCAAAACUUUCCCUCAAGUUUUGGAAUUUGUAAAAUAUCACUAAUGAAACAUUAAUUCCAAACCCUAGAGUAUUUAAAAGUUAAAAUUCAACCCUUAUACUUUAUAAUAUUAUUAGUUUAAUAAUAUAUAUAUAUAUAAAAGACUAGUCAACCUUACCGUUAGUAGGCCUCAUUCACGAAGUUGGUCUAUAAGAGGGGUAUAAGGUUACUACCUAUAAAAUGAUAGUUUAAUGGGUGUCCACUCUCACUCACUGCUUCUUUGACUGGUGGAGGGUCGUUAACCGAACGGGUAGGAUAGGACAUUAAUUUUCAUUAAAAGUAUAAUGAUAAAUAUAAAGUAACUAAACUUUUAUUAAAUUCCCAAUUUUAGUUACUUUAGGAAAAUGUGAAAAUGGUGCUAAUCCAUGAAAUUACACUUUGCACCUUGUUAAGUCGUUAGUGGAGCGUGUGUGGUUAACCAGCACACUAAUUUGGGACUAAAAAUGUGUGGCGAAGGGUAGCUUGAUGUUAAUCAUAGAUCAAUGGAGCGUGUGUGGUUAACCGGCACAUUGAUUAGGUGAUUUGUAACAUUCAGUGUACCAAGCUAAUUUGCAUGGUUAUUCACACCUUGUUUGUGAUCCUUGGCAUCCCAUUCACAAACUUGAAGGGCACAAUCGAGAUUUAAACAUGCCAUUGAAAAGUUCAAUGAAUCUUCAAGGAUCUAUGAAUUUCAAUGCAAUUAAAACUUAAUAAUCCAUUUCGUUUUUCAUGGUGGAACUUGGUAAAUCGUCAUUUACCUACCUUCAAAUAUUUUACAACUGGAUUACGACAUCCCUUUUCGCAAUUGUAGAAUAUUGCGUUGGGUCCUAGCCUUAAUAUUUCAUUUGGGAGUAAUAUUAAGGAUUAUCAUCUAAUCUAAAAUUUGUUCUUCUUCUUUUUCAUAUGUCUAUCCCAAACAAUGCUUCCAACCCAAUCCCCUCAGGCUCUUUCUCCCUCGUGAACCUAUGUGGGUGGGUCAUUUUCAAUGGCUCGAACUUCAAUGAGUGGAUUCGAAACAUCCGAAUGGCUAUUCAUUAUGAGGAUAAAGAAUAUGUCCUAAAUAAAGAGCUUAAGGAGAUUGAUGUCACCACUGCUACUCCCGAAAAAAUCGUUGAACAUACUACUCAUGAGAGGGAUGCGAUAAAGGUGUCAUGUUUAAUGACUGCUACCAUGACUGAUGAGCUGCAGAAGUCCUAUGAUUACUACUAUCCUUUUGAAAUGUAUCAUGAUUUGAUGGAAAGAUACCAUCUAAGUGCUCGGCAAGAGAGGUAUGAUAUCAUUGCCUCCAUGAUCACAACCAAAAUGAAGGAUGGGGAACCCAUCACGGCCCACUUGCAAAAGAUGUAGAGAUAUGUGGACCGCUAGCUAAAAUUGAAUGUCAAUUUUGAUGAAGAGUUAGCCAUAGACAUAAUUCUACACUCUUUACCUUCUUUUAUGAUAAGUUUCGUAUGACCUAUCAUAUGAACCAGGAGGAGGUCACUCUUAGCAAGCUUCAAGGCCUUUUAAGGACUAUAGAAAGCAACUUGAAAGGCAAGUCGGUUGUGUCUACUCCUACUAGUACUACUUCUGCCUCUGUUCUGGCAAUAGUAAAUGGGAAGGGAAACAAGAGGAAGGCUCCCUACAACAGCUGCAAGGGAAAGUCUCUUGAUGGAUCCUCUUCAAGUGGGACCAAAUCUGGUUCUGCUAAUCCCUCAACCAAUCCUAAGGAUACGGAGUGCUUCUACUCUCAUGAAAAAGGGCACUGGAAACGAAGCUGCCUCAAGUACUUGCAUGACAUAAAGGAUGGCAAGAUCAAGCCCUCCUUCGCAGAUAUUUAAACUAUUCUAUCUAAUAACUCACCACAUGCUAAUUCAUGGGACCUUGAUACAGGUCGUGGAUUUCACAUUUGUUCUGAUUUGUAGGGACUAAAAAGAAGUAAGGAUAUGGAGCACGGGAAGAUAAACUUAAUCAUGGGAAAUAGAAAAGUGUCGCCUGCGACCAAGAUUGGAUUUUAUUCUUUAUUGCUUAGUAAUGGUUUAAAUUUAGAUUUGAAUAACUGUUGUUACUCAGACGAUAUGGCGAGUAAUAUUAUUUCCUUUCACGGUUUGUAUACACAAGGUUUUACCUUUUCUUUUAAUAAUGAAAUUGGUGCUAUUAAUGCUUAUUAUAAUGGUGUAUUUUACUUUGAAGCAUUACCUUGCAAUGGUAUAUAUGAAACUGAAAGAACCCAACUUUCGUAUUUCUGAAAGACCCCAACUUUCAUACUAUUCCAACAUUAUUCUUAAGUUACUUCCUCAAAACAUGCUACAUGCAUAUUUAUAAAACAAUAUUUUAUAUUGAUAAAGUGAUUACAAAAGAUUGGAUACAAACCGACUAAGUUUUAUUACAUUUCAUAUCUACCCAGGAAUCUACUAUUCAUAUACAUACAUGAACAUUAAAAUACAAAGAAAUAGUAUUAACUAUUCUAAAUCUUUCAGCAGUAUAAAGCUAUAUUGGAUACUCAUCACCUGCAAUUGUUAAACAUUGAGAGGGAUAAGCGAUAACGCUUAGUGAAUUCAAUAAAUAGAUACAAUAUAAUCUUAUGCCUUAUAUAUACCAAUAUGACAGAAGCAAAAGGGAACAAGAACAACAACAACAUAUGCGUAUCAUAUGUCAGGCUUUCAAUAUCAACUCAAGUUUGAUUCAAAGAUUUAUGAUUAAUGAGACAUAACGAUUUCUAUACUUGAUAUGCAUCAAUAAAGCUUUGGCCCAAAUGGCACAGAAGACAUAUAAUUUAUGAUUAACAGUUUGGUAGAUUUCAGGCUUAUAGCCCUAUCUAACCAUUUGCCAAUACCAUAGAAUAGAGGUCAUUCUCCUACGGAGUCAUGCUCUACAUGGUCAGAGGCUACAUACCAAUCUUAUCUAACAUUCUGCCAAUGCCAUAGAAUAGAAGUCAUUCUCUUACGAGACAUGUUCUACAUGGCCAGAGGCUACAUACCAGUACCACCGUGAAUCUAAGUUCUUUCACUGAUCACAUGGUCAAAGGUAUAACUUUGCUAUUAAAAAUAGCGAAUAAAAUAACACGGGAAAAUAACUCAAAAUAAUAACACUGAAAAGCACAUAGCACAUAUAACACAUAACAUAUAAUUGUUUCUAUAUAUUGAACUCAACAUAAAAUAAUCGGGGGUUAAAAUAGUAAUUUGAGUAGCAAUUCUGCUCGAUAAAUAGCUUUCGUCGUUGAAAACCGGGAAAUAUUUUGAAAAAUAGGCCUUGCGAGAGUAGAACUUCAAACCGAAAAGAAUAAUUUCUCGGGCUAUCCGGGCACUUCGGGACGUAUUCCGGGUUUUAAAAAUAAUACCGGGGCUUCAGGGGAAGUAGAAAUAAUUAAAAUAUGGAAAGAGAGGCCAAAAAUGGCAAUUUCGUGAAAAUAUCCGGGCUGGUUCGCAUCCUUCUAUAUAUAACAUGCGAAGGUCAGACGAGAGGAAGUGAGUCAGCAGCAAAGCAGCUUGGUGGCAACAGCAGCGAAGGAUACGUGCGAGGCCGUCAUAUGAGGCGUCUUAGACGUCGCCUAGGACGCCAAAAGGCUCGUCGGAUGCGCAGAGGACCUCGCUUCGGACCAAUCAGAGACGGACACGAGUGGACACGGGUCGAAUUCGCGAGAAGAGUGGUGUGGCUAGUACUAUUCAUGCGAGUUUAUCCGAAAUUCUCGAAUUUUGAGCCAAAAUCUUCCGAAAUUCAUAACAUCCGCAUAUGAACUCCAUUUUUGACGUUCUUUAUAUGCACGCGUAGCUAAAUUUAUGCUCUACAACUUUUGUUUAGACUUCGUCGGCUAACUUUUACUUUAAUUUUAAUAUUAUUAUUUUUAACAGACCGGGACAGGAAAAUCCGUUAAAAAUCCAUAACUUCUUCACCCGACAUCCGUUUUCGUCAGACUUCUUACCGUUGUACUACAAAUGAUGAGACCUUCAAUUCUCAUUUAGGUUUUUUUGGCUAAAAAUCACUCGAUCUAAAAUUCGAGUUUUCAGUUGUCUACUGCUAAGCUGAAACUUAGAAAAAUCAUAAUUUCCUCAUUCGAAGUCAAAUUUUGGCGUUCUUUUUAUCGAACUUCUCGGUUUAACGACUACUACGACUUUCACUUAGAUCACUAAGGCUAAAAUGUAGUUUAUCAAAAACUCACUAUUUACGUCAUUCGGCGUCGUGCCGGUUUUGUCGCGGAUCUUCGAUUGGUCAUAACUUCUUCGUUAUAACUCGGAUUUUGUCGAGGUUUUUGCCUACAAGUUUCUAACCAAAUUAUCUACAAAUUUAUAUAAUAAAAUUUUACUUUAUUUAUAGUAAAAACUAUCUGUUAGAACUCAACACUCAAUUUUAUUCACUUUUAAUAAUAACAUAACACUAUUUCAGAAUGUGUAUGUUACAGAAAAUGUGAUGGUUGUAAAUAACCUAGGAAAAAAUAUGUUGAAUAUUGAUUUGUCUAAUGAUUUGGAUAAGGCAUGCUUGUGGCAUUGUCGUCUUGUACAUGUCAACAAGAAGUGCAUAGCCCAACUCCAAAAGGAUGGAGUCUUGCAGUCAUUCGACUUGAAGUCAGAUGACACUUGCGAAUCUUGUUUACUUGGAAAGAUGACCAAGUCACCCUUCACUGGUACUUGUGAAAGGGGUAAAGGUCUGUUGGAUCUCAUAUACACUGAUGUGUGUGGACCAUUCAGAACCGCCACAAGCGAUGCUAACCGCUUCUAUGUGACUUUCACUCAUGAUUACAACAGAUAUGGAUAUAUCUACUUAACCAAGCAUAGGUUAGAAACCUUUGAAAAGUUCAAAGAGUUUAAGCGAGAAGUGGAGAAUCAAUUAGGCAGAAAAAUAAAGACGUUGCAAUCCUAUCGAGGAGGAGAGUAUCUUAGUAUCGAGUUCCUAGAGACUGUCGCCCAUACCCUUAAUAUAGUCCCUACCAAAAGGUUUCCAAAACACCUCACGAGAUGUGGACAGGGAAGGAACCCUCAUUAGACCACAUCAAAGUUUGAGGUUGCAAGGCUUUCGUGAGAUGCGAGACUCACAACAAGCUUCAACCUCAGAGUGAGCGAUGUAUUUUCAUCAGCUAUCCACAGAAGUCCUUUGGAUAUCUCUUCUAUAGGCCAACUGACAUUGUUGUCUUCGUCGUGAGGAGAGGAGUCUUUCAUGAGAGAGAACUCAUAUGCCAAGGGGACAGUGGGAGGAAAAUUGACCUUGAAGAGCUUCAAGAGUCAAGCAGUGAAGGAAUAUCAAACACUUGCAAUCAACUUGAGGAGGAAACUCUGGCUAAACCAGUUGACGAGUCUGUACCUCUGAGGCGUUCCUGUAGAGUUAGUGUUCCACCUGUGUUAUAUGGUUUUCAUAUAACAGCUGAAGGUGAUACAUUUAUCAGUGAUAGCACACUGGUAAAUCUGGAUGAACCUAACAACUACAAGGAAGCGAUGGCAGGCCCCGAGUCUGCAAAGUGGAAAGAGGCUAUAGACAAAGAGAUUUAGUCCAUGUAUGACAAUCAAGUUUGGAACUUAGUUAACCAAUUAAUUAAAUUAAUCAAAUCUUUUAAGAAUUAAAUAAUUAUCUUUAAUUAGACUAUUAAUUAGUUAAUCGAUUUGAUAAUUAUCCUUCCUAAUUUUCAAAAAUUAGGAUUUUGGUUUUCUAGUUUUAGUUAUUUAAAUUUUAAGGAAAUAAAAAUAACAAAUAAGGAAUCUAGGAAACCCUAGUAAUGUUCGAAAAAGGCUAUUGGUAAGGGGAUUUUUGAUAACUCUAGAGGGCUAGGAAUUUUUGAUUUUCUAAGUGUUUUUAAAGGUUUCACAAAUGUGUAAAUUAUAGAACAAGCCUAAAGCUCUGAUACAACUGAUGGGUUUUCUAGAUUACUUCUAUGUACUAGAGGGAUUUCACAUAAC
rnacentral:lncRNA from 1 species